AAGCUUCAAUGGGAAUCUAACCUGUAGUCGCUCUGUGUUUCUUCUUCUGGAUAUUUUCGCGGUGAAAAUUCCUAGAAGCAGGUUUUCCUUUUUAUGAUGCAGAGAGACGUCUUGCAUUUGGUGAACCUCAUGUGUUUUUCCUCUGCAGCCCUUACUCCUGAAUGCUUGAUAUCCACCAUCUCUGACAUGCCUGUCGAUGCCUCAGGUGUGAAUCUAUUAUGAUGGGCAAAGACAAAUACGACAAACCUCUGAAAUACUAAAUAAUAACAAUAAUGCAAAAAUAAUUUAAUCUAAUGCCAGAACCAGAUACAUGGGCCUGGAAUGAAAUAAAACAGUAUCUAUAAAACACAUUGAUGUCAAUGAAUAGUUUUUUACGCAUAAAGAGUCACAAAUAUAGACUCGAAAACCUCCUCACAAAGCUGUCGAGUAUCUUUCAGCUCUGCUCUCAUGUGACCCCUGAGCGGCAGCAGCUGGAUAAUAGCCACUGUGCCGAUUUUUCGAACCUCAUUAUGGAUUCAAUGUGCAGAUGAUGUGCAGCUUGUUUCAUUCAUUUUUCACACCCCGGGUUUGAAGUUAUUAUACAUCACAAAGAAAUGUGGCUCUUCACCCGCUGAAUAGUAAGCGACACAAAUACAUUCUCCACGCCGCCACACCUGCAGCUGCCAACAAAUCAUCAUCGGCUCUGCGAAAAGACCCUCCAUCAUCAUUUCUCUGCUUUUGAUAAAGAAAACUGCAGCAGGCGUGUGGUCGUGUUUUUUAAAUGUGCAGCUGAUCAGCAUAUUAAAUAUAUCUGUUAAAGAUAUGAUCAGUAAUCAGACCGAAAUCAGAGCAGCUUUGGUAGGUCAGAGGUCAGAAGACGCUCUCUUUUAAUUAUCUGACAUUUCUCACUUAAACGUUUUGUUUCUUCGUUGUUGUCUCUGGUGAAACUUGUCAGUCUCAAAGGCCCAAAGCUCAUUAGGUAAAGGUUACACACAACAGCAGUACUCAGAGAAAUAACUUGUAUUUUAUAAAGGGACUCCAAAUAGAGAGUGUCUGAAAUCAGCAUCUUCAGACGAUCAGUCAGUCUAAUGAGUUUGUUAAUGUGUCUGCUGACAUUUUCUGUGAUUUUUCAUCAUGAUGGAUGACGCUGAUUUUGUAUGUUUUUGUUAAUCAAGCAAGUAAGCUGAGAUCGCUUUGUACUGUUACCUUUGACAAGACUUUAAAGUCCAUGUUUGGUCACAUCAGGCCUGAACUACAACGAGAAUUCCUUUCAUAGCCGGGUCAGGCUGUACGCUCGACCUCCCCAGACUCUCUUUUAUAAAAGGAAGAGAGGAAAUGAGAGGACAAGCACGACAUAGCCAGGACAGGAAGUCCGUUUGGGCUUUAACUCAUCCCAGCUUAGGUUGUUUAGGUUGUACGCUCUACCUCCCCCACUUCUUCAUUUUUUUGGAAGACGAGGGGGGCGAACAGAAAAAGAGUUUACAGGAAGACUUCAAGAGACAACAGGAAAGAAGUCUGUUUAGGCAAGAGUUCAUUGCAGCUGGGUCAGACUGUACGCUCUACCGCUACCUCAAUUUUUAAGGAUGGAGGAGAGGAGACUUACAAGAGAACAAGUCUCUGUGAGAAGAAAGGGAAGACUUAGCCAUGGCGAGUCUGUUUGUCUGUUUGGACUAGAACAGGACGCUCUACCUUCCCCUGAUUGGGGUUUGCAGGAAGACUUUUGAGAAAGGACAGGGAAGAGCAAAACAAGGGUAGAAGUCUGUUGAAGCAAGAGUUCAUCGCAGCUGGGUCAGACUGUAUGCUCGACAUUCCUCGAUUUUUAGGGAUGGAAGAGAGAAGACCAACAUGAGAUCAAGUCCAGCGAUCCGCAGCAGAACUUAAAGAAGCCUGUGGAAAUUGACACAUGAACUUGAAUGGUUACGAUCAGCUACGAUUGGCGGAUACUGCCUUCUCGAUGUGGUGGAAAUUGAGGGCUAGGGCUCAUUGCAGCUGGGUCAGACUGUACGCUCUACCUUCCUCGAUUUUUAGUGAUGGAAGAUAGGAGACCAACAUGAGAACAAGUCUUCAAGCAGACUUUCAAGAGAGGAAAGGGAAGACAGCCAGGGUCUGUUGUCUGUUUGGUCUAGAACUGUACGCUCUACCUUCUCCUGGUUGGGGUCUAGAGGAAGGGUAAGAAGCCUUUUUAGUCGACAUUUAAGAGAGAAAAAAAGUCCUUGAAUAUUUGCUGCCCAUCAGCUGGGACCCACAAAUAUUUGAUGAGAGUGAUUUAGAUCAAUAAAAACCUGAAUCAACUUCUGCCCCGUUUAGACUUCUUACGCAGAUUUCUUCUGGACUCUUCUUGACUCAAUCAAAAGUACUUCUGUAUUUUAUAAUUGUUUCCCUUUAACAUCGGUCCCUUCAGCUUGUUUGUCUUUAUUUGACAUGUAUUCGUAAUAAACAGGAAACAUUGUCAUACUCAGUGUGCGUCACAUGUGACUUCAAGGAAAGACCGAAGCGUCGGGGCUUCAGUGUCAUUAAAGAAGAGAUGUAAAUGUCACAGCGAUGGUUUUUAUUAAAUAGGGGGUUGUGUGAUGGAUGGUAACCACCUGAUGGAGUGAAUAAUUCAUUCCUGAUUAGUGGUGACCGGCCUGUGGCUUUAGAUCCUCAGGAGACAUUACAGGCACCACAGUGUGUCUGUGACUGGAGAUGGACUUAAUGGGAGAAUUAUCUGAGAAACCAUUUCUGCUUCUGUGCGUGGGUGGAGGAGGAAGGGAGGGACUACUGUGUGUGUGUGUGUGUGUGUGUGUGUGUGUGUGUGUGUGUGUGUGUGUGUGUGUGUGUGUGUUAAUCUUCCUGUUGCCUGUCUGAUCUCUGCUUUGCAUUCAUGCAGCAGCUGUAUCCCUGACAAAAGAGAUUGAAUGCAGAGUAAUUAUGACAUCAAAGAUUCUGCUAAUCCUAUUUUCCCAUUUUCCGAUUAUUUCCAAGUCUAUUUCCUGACAUCUCAAUCUCAGGCACUGAUGUGUGUCUGAAUCUCUGGUGAUAGUGUUGCACAAAUCAAGAAGAAGUGGCUUGUCUAAAGCCAUCACUGUGAUGACAGAGGACUGAUGAGUGUGUUUAUGAAUGAAGAUCCACGUUAAUGACCCGAGCUAUAAUACAAUCUUCUGCCCAGCGGCUGCCCAGAUAUGAACAGAUUAAAUCCAUUACAGGAGGAAUUAUGUGAACCCAAGUACCAUCAUAUCAUGUCUUUUUUCACGAGCAGAAACAAGGAAACACAGCCAGGGUGUGUCCGAAUAAUCCAACCCUGAAUCCAAAUGUGCAAAUAAUGAUAAAGAACAACAUUUCACUAUUUCCUGUAAUGAAACGGGUCUAAAGUUAAGAUAGAAAUGCCUUGACUCAUUAAAAUAUGAAGAUCUUUCAUUGGAAAAAAUGCAAAGUUACGAUAUUUGGUGUCCAAACUAGAUGUAUGUAAAUUUUUAAACCACAAAAUAAACAUAUGUUGUUAUAAUCUGACAAUAUACUGUAGGUGUAAACUGCUUAAAGUGAGGUCUGACUCAUUAAACUAAUGGGCGGUCCUGACUAGUUCAAAGUGGCCAAUCAGAAGACAGGGGGCCUUAAAGAGACGGAAGCUACAACCAAGUUCUUUAGAUGGAAGCUGAAGUAAUGAUGUUUUAACACACCGAAGUGAGAAACAGGAGACUUGAUUUGAUCUAAAAACAAUCGACUUACAAUCAGCCUGAUACACAGAGUGUUUUAUUUUGAAAAGAAGCCGGAUGUUUUAUUUUGUGUCUGUGCCCGACUUCCUUUCCAGCACGGGUUAAUCUGUGCUGAAUUUAUCCGCCAUGCUCCGGCGUCCAGAAAAAAUAGAACUCUUGUGAUCAGCUGAGGAGUCCGGCGAUCCUCAGAGGAACGGAAAGAAGUCGGUGUAAAUUGACACGUUAACUUGAAUGGUUACGAUCAGCUACGAUCGGAGGAUACGACCUUUUAGGAGACCAUCAGGAUGAAGGUGGAAAUUGGAGGUUAAAGUCAGGAGACAACAUCCAUCCAGUCUUGGUUUUAGUCCUGGUCCCUUUUAUCAGAUAUUUCUGAUUGAUCUCUGAUUCUUUCAGUGAUAGUUUGACGACAUGAUGAAACCUGUUAAAUCUCUGACUGUUGAACUGUUUGCUCACGCAGUCUCUCACACAGUGGUUAACCUCUGAAUGUCCUUUUUAUUCCCAGUCAUGAUACUACAGAUGCUGCAGAUUAACCUCAGCGGUUUUGAGAUAUUUGUUUGUUAGUUAGUUAGUUAGUUUGUUUAUUUAUUUAUUUGUUUAUGAGGGUUGUCAGGGAGAUGAUUAAACCUUUAGUUGACGAGUAUCAUGUUAGUAUCGACUGUUUCAUGCCAGUCGUUGAUGUUUUAAUGCUGUUUUUUGCCUGCGGUGUAGGAUGAUAGAGAAACCUUCCUCAGCCCGUUAUCGCUCUGCGGUGCUUUGUUCUGGUUUUAAUAAUCACUGUGCAGCUUUGGCAGAAGUACAGAUGCUGAUUAGGUUCUGUUUGUUCGGCCUGCCCGGUAUUAUCUCUUCAUUUCACUACGUCCCCUGUUAGCUCCGCUGUGACACUGAGUAUGUACAUAAUUAUGAUGUUUGCUUCAUUUUCAUUAAGAGUUUAUUUAAACUAAUAACAUUUGUUUGGUGAGGCAGAGCUGCUUAACAAGUCCUCCAAGAAAGUGAUGACUCCAAAUGUUCUCAUUUAUUCAUGAUUAUUUCAUCUUAAUGACCUUCUCUGUAAUUUCUCUGCUGAUUCAAACUCUGAACUUUAUUCAUAUAGACGAGUAACAACAGGAUAAAUAUUUCCAUCCUUCGUUUUGCUGCAGAGGAGAACAUCUGUUGUUUCCAAGGCUGCUAGAGUCUUAGAUAAACAGCCGCAAAGUCAGAUCCAUCUCUGAAGUUUGUCUCAGAUUUGUGCAUCAGUAAACAUGUGUCUCCUGAGAGGAAUCACCGUUUAUAUCUCAUCCAAAAAAAGCCAUUUAAACCGCAGAUCUAAUUUAAAGUUGAAGGUGUGAAACAGGCGCUGAUAAAUGUACUGGGGAACAGUUUAAUUAAAAGUUUAUGAAAGUUAUGCUGGCAGUCGAGAAGCUCUCAGACUCAAUAAAUCCAGUUUUCUUCUCGGGAACAAACGGCGGAAAUAAAUCACAGCAAAUAACGAAACGCGGCUUUUACUUUAGGGGUAAAUAUUUAGAAGCUGUCGGGGGGAAAAACGAGGAUGAAGUGGAUGAAAAGAUAAUGUGCACCGCUCAAAAGAUGAAACCCUCUUCCUACCCAUCAGUGUCCUCUGGUAUUUGAUGGAUUUUCAGUCACCGUGCUGGCAGUGACCUCUCCAACAGGAGUUAAAUGGUUUCUGUCUCAUAUUUACACUCUCUUGGUCAUAUUUGUUCUCUCCGCCCGGCGGUCCGCGGUCUCCAACCCUCCAUCUCCGCCACCUGUCCGCUCUUAUCUCGGUCUGCCAGUGGGAGUUAGCAUUUCCACCUGGAGUGUGUGCGGCUCGGCUCGUCCUGGACCGCUGCCCCUCUCCCUCCUCUCACAGAGUGUCUGUGUGUUUAAUGAGCCUGGCUCUGAGGCCUGGAGACCC